CUCAGCUUGACAAACCAAUCCGGGGUUCGGCUCGUUUGCUUGCUGUGCAAAAACCUCCCAGCCAACGUCCAGAAUAGUGGACACCGACCCCUGCUGCUUCUCCACCACCUCUGCAACCUUGUCGUCUGCCUCGCCCAGAAGUUAGAAAAAACUGAGCGGCUAGGAAGUAGCUGCCUUGUCAAGAGGGAAGGAGCAGGAGCCCAUUCUGUACAGGAAAUGCAACAGGCGGUGAUCUUGGGAGCACUGGUGACAGGUUUUGGGGGAGGGGAGGGGACAGUAUAAUGGAUUUUCUUUUCUUUAUUUUUUUUUUUAGGGAGGCAAAGAAGGAGGAGGAAAGAAACGGCUACUCAAGGAUUGACCCCUUUGUUUCAACCUACUGAAGGCAACUGUUACCUGAACCUGUCUGGAGCUAAAUGACUUGUGCAAGACUGAAGAGAAGUCAAAGCUCCCCUCCACCUCUGGCGGAAAAAGGAAUUAGGAAAAAAAGAGAGGAGCAGGAAAAAUACAAUAUAAUUGUCAUUAAAACAGAAAUCCAUAUUGGAGUAAGACCAUUAUAUGAUCAGCUGGAGCCUUAUAAUCCCAGAGCUACAUUAGGCUUAUUUAGUGUUCAUAUAAAUCACAAUGUAAUUAAUUCAAUGGACAAGGGUGGAGGUUCCAGAGAUCUGGUCCUGCCUUAGCCAUGAAAGCUGACUUGGGCCAGUUUCUCUUUCUCAAUAUAACUCGCCUCACAAGGUUGUUGCAAAUAAAUAGGAGGGGUGUGUGUUAAAUAUAUUCACUGUCUUGAGUUAUUUAUAAAAUAAUAAAGGUAAGAUACAAACAAAUUAAAUUAAAA